rnacentral:tRNA from 1 species
GCGGAUGUAGCCAAGUGGAUUAAGGCGGAGGAUUGUGAAUCCAC